rnacentral:rRNA from 1 species
GGGUGGAUCAGUGGCGAACGGGUGAGUAACACGUGGGCAAUCUGCCCUGCACUCUGGGACAAGCCCUGGAAACGGGGUCUAAUACCGGAUAUGACCUGGGACCGCAUGGUCCCGGGUGUAAAGCUCCGGCGGUGCAGGAUGAGCCCGCGGCCUAUCAGCUUGUUGGUGGGGUAAUGGCCUACCAAGGCGACGACGGGUAGCCGGCCUGAGAGGGCGACCGGCCACACUGGGACUGAGACACGGCCCAGACUCCUACGGGAGGCAGCAGUGGGGAAUAUUGCACAAUGGGCGAAAGCCUGAUGCAGCGACGCCGCGUGAGGGAUGACGGCCUUCGGGUUGUAAACCUCUUUCAGCAGGGAAGAAGCGCAAGUGACGGUACCUGCAGAAGAAGCACCGGCUAACUACGUGCCAGCAGCCGCGGUAAUACGUAGGGUGCGAGCGUUGUCCGGAAUUAUUGGGCGUAAAGAGCUCGUAGGCGGCCUGUCGCGUCGGAUGUGAAAGCCCGGGGCUCAACCCCGGGUCUGCAUUCGAUACGGGCAGGCUAGAGUGUGGUAGGGGAGAUCGGAAUUCCUGGUGUAGCGGUGAAAUGCGCAGAUAUCAGGAGGAACACCGGUGGCGAAGGCGGAUCUCUGGGCCAUUACUGACGCUGAGGAGCGAAAGCGUGGGGAGCGAACAGGAUUAGAUACCCUGGUAGUCCACGCCGUAAACGUUGGGAACUAGGUGUUGGCGACAUUCCACGUCGUCGGUGCCG